rnacentral:rRNA from 1 species
UACGUAGGGGGCUAGCGUUGUCCGGAUUUAUUGGGCGUAAAGCGCGUGUAGGCGGCCAGAUAGGUCUGCUGUGAAAACUCGAGGCCCAACCUCGAGAUGUCGGCUGAAACCAUCUGGCUAGAGUCCGGAAGAGGAGAAUGGAAUUCCCGGUGUAGCGGUGAAAUGCGCAGAUAUCGGGAAGAACACCCGUGGCGAAGGCGGUUCUCUGGGACGGUACUGACGCUGAGACGCGAAAGCGUGGGGAGCGAACAGG